UGGGGAAUAUUGCACAAUGGGCGCAAGCCUGAUGCAGCCAUGCCGCGUGUGUGAAGAAGGCCUUCGGGUUGUAAAGCACUUUCAGCGGGGAGGAAGGCGGUGAGGUUAAUAACCUCAUCGAUUGACGUUACCCGCAGAAGAAGCACCGGCUAACUCCGUGCCAGCAGCCGCGGUAAUACGGAGGGUGCAAGCGUUAAUCGGAAUUACUGGGCGUAAAGCGCACGCAGGCGGUCUGUCAAGUCGGAUGUGAAAUCCCCGGGCUCAACCUGGGAACUGCAUUCGAAACUGGCAGGCUAGCGUCUUGUAGAGGGGGGUAGAAUUCCAGGUGUAGCGGUGAAAUGCGUAGAGAUCUGGAGGAAUACCGGUGGCGAAGGCGGCCCCCUGGACAAAGACUGACGCUCAGGUGCGAAAGCGUGGGGAGCAAACAGG
rnacentral:rRNA from 1 species